rnacentral:ncRNA from 18 species
GGGUGCGCGGUCCGAACGUCGGGCCGGCAGGCUUCAGCGUUGGUCGGGCCGCCAGCG